UUCAAAGCAUCGGAAGGAAUCUUCGUGUUCGUUUAUUAGUCUGUUCAAUAGAAAAAUGUGCGACAAGGUCAAACUUGGAGUAUCACCAGUUUAACUAAGUGAACAUUCAACGCCCAUUUAUAUCACAAGACCUUGAUCGUAACAUUCUUGAUCAGUUACUACCAAUUUCAAAAGUGGGUGUAAAUGCCAUCUUGUUUGUUUAGUAACAAAAGCCCGUCUGAGACAGCCACUGGAUUCCAUGUGACUGAUCUUCUCAAGAUGUCUAGGAGAAUCACACUUUGUUUGUCCAAUGAUGCAGAUGCGAAGAUGACAAACCUUUCGCACCGAAGUAUGAAUACUCAAGAGAGAAGGCGGAAGCUCUGGGUGUCGAAUUCACUCCUUUAGAGAUCAGUCUAAGAGACACCAUUGAAUCUUUACGGGAGAAGGGGUUCAUCUCGGUCUAGGCACCUGCUUAAAAACAGCACGACACUAGCUGAUAAUUCGGGGUUCCUUGCUUUACGAAACAAGUUUUACCGGUUGAAGUUUCUUCACGCGAUUUGUAGUCCGAUAUGACUUACAACUAGAAGUGUACAUUAUCUGCAGAAAUCUCUAAAGACCUGCAUCUUCUUGGGGUAAUAUUGCGAAUGAACAAGUUGAGCUAGCAUUUUAUUGGACGCCCUCAUCUCCGGUGUACUCCAUUAGACGCUACGUGGAAGAAAAAGAUGAUACAUACCAUUUAAAACCAGAUCAGAUACUCAGAAACCAAGGAUUUACAAAGGAAAUGAAGUAUUUCUUUUCCACGAGAAAGACAUAUGGGAAGACGAGAGAAAAUUGAAGAGAGGAAUCCAUUGGCCAAGGACAAAGGGAGAUUCCGCACCACUCGCUCCACGUUUGCCUCGUCCUUGUUAUGAAUCUUGCCGAGAAACGCGCAUGGCAACGCUGAAAGUAGUAUUCCUUUUGCUUGCCUUCCUUUUGAAAACAUUGUGUUGUUUCCUUAUUUAGUACAUAACCUUUUAUGUGUUUCAUUAGUGUUAUAAAACUUGUUGCGCAGAAUUCUAAUAUUUCGUUGCCAAAUAAAAAACAACUUUCCAUGCAUGGUGAUCUUAUGAUAUGAUUAGUGAUCUUUAUAUCUUAUUGUAAAGUAGUGUAACCGACUGUUUGUUGGUCAAAUGCACUAACGGUGAUUUACCAAAAUGUUGACAAUUUACCAAUAAUAAAUACAAUAAUACAUUAUCAACCUUCUCUUUUUUUUCACUAGGUUAUCACUCUAAACAAAAAAUUCAAAUGCGAAAUUAGUGACUUCCUACUGAAAUUGCAAGGUAGUAAGUUCCUAGCAGAGUGAAGAAUUUAUUGACUUCAAAUGAAAUGCAAGUUAUCAUUAUUUUGACGAGCUCGCCGGGCCUCGCCAAUAGGUCAAUAACUAUUGGGUCACAAAUGUAAAACUUAGCCCGCUUUUACCAUAGCAAGUUAUCAUCUUAGAAAUUUUCCGCUUAGUAGAUGGAUCCGCUUGUAAAAUUUGAAAGUAUUUGAUAAUUCAUUAGUUGAUACGAGUCAUGACAUCAUUAUUGAAACGAAUAAUAGUUUAUUACAUGGGGCUAAAUUGAAACAAAUCUUUUCUGUAGGCAUGGCAUCCGAAGACAUUUCCUUGAAACGUAGCUGUCUUAGACAAGUUGCCUUUGAGUCAGGCAUGACACAAGUGAUCGGAUAUUUCUAUCGGCGCCCAACCCCUGUGGUCUAGAAUAGGUGAUCGUUCAAAGUUUCUCCAUCUAUCUUCUCUGAUUGAAGGAUUUAAGUUGGCGAGACAUGUGAAGGUUGAAAAUUAUUCAAGUUGAACAUUAUCUGAAAGCAAUCAUAGAUGAUUUUUUUCCUUAUAUAUACCAGUAGAAGAUUCAGCUCCAAGGAUAGGAGAGGAGAGGGAAAAUGAGCACGACAGAGAAGGUGGUUUGUGUAACCGGAGGGGCUGGUUACAUAGCAUCAUGGCUCAUCAACUUGCUGCUUCACAGGGGCUAUACAGUCAAAGCGACCAUCCGCAACACCAGUAAGUUCAUCGUUUCAUCUUCGUGUCUUGUUCUUAAUUUUUUUUUUUUUUUUUUUUGGAUUCUUGGGUGGUGCACUCUAUUCUUAGAGAAUGAUUCACAGUUUCUUAGUCGAAUCAUUCGGAUGCAUGGACUUUGUACCAAAUUCCGUUUUUAUCAGAAAGUGUGCUUUUCUAAUCGUCUCUUCCCAUUUCGAUUCACUCGCAUAUGCGUGUAUUUAUUUGGAAGUGCAUAAGUGCAUGUGUACGCAUAUACUGAUUUGUCUAUGUGCUUUUGGAGCUAUGGCAAUAUAACAUGUUCGAGUUCGCUGCCUAAAGAAUUAAUCCCUUGCAAUAUUCGAAUCCAUUAUGUCUUAAUCCUGGUUUUUUAUAGAUGUGGAUAUGUUGCAACUCAGGUCAAGAUCAAGUACUAGCAUGUUUCAUGAUUCAUAACUUGAUGUCAUUCUAUAUGAAGGAACUUAGAUUGUGAUCUAUCAGAUCUAAUUCUGCAUUCUGGCAUGUGUAUAUAAGCAGAUGAUUCACAGAAGACACAACAUCUUCUGGCACUUGGAGGGGCCAAGGAGAGGCUCCAUUUGUUUAAAGCAGAUUUGCUAGAAGAAGGGUCCUUUGACUCGAUACUCGAUGGGUGCGGAGCUGUUUUUCAUACAGCAUCACCUGUGGUUUUCUCGGCUUCGGAUCCCCAGGUGUCUGCACAUAUCAGUUCCUUCCGCUUUGUACUGUAGAUUCAUACGAUAGAUGAUCUGAUAUUACUUGGGUGAUUUGGCAAAAUCGUACUGAUGACCUCCUUCAUGUUGCAGGCUGAAAUAGUGGAUCCAGCUGUCAGAGGCACCUCAAACGUUCUCAAAUCAUGUGCAAAAGUCCCUUCUAUCAACCGAGUGGUAGUGACCUCCUCCAUGGCUGCAGUAGUGUUCAAUGGAAAACCUCUGACCUCUGGUGUGGUGGUUGAUGAAACAUGGUUCUCUGAUCCGGUUUUCUGCGAGGAAUCAAAGGUAGUAAGAUGCUUUUCUUGAUAUUGUUGGUCUCUUUUGCUUGGUCCGCUGUCUGUGAGUUCGUUCAUCGCAUUGUUGUGUCUGCUAUUUUCAGCUUUGGUAUGUGCUCUCCAAAACCUUGGCGGAGAAGGCUGCUUGGGAAUUUGCUAAAGAGAAGAGGAUCGACCUGGUCGUGAUGAACCCAGGACAUGUGAUUGGAACCUUUUGCAGCCUACAGUCAAUCUCUCGGUGGAAUUGAUAUUGAACUUUGUCAACGGUAUUACUUGAUGGUUUCUAUGUCACACGUACUAUUUUUCAUGAGAUGAUUCAUUCUUUUACACAUCAUGUCAGCAUUUGGCAUCUCUUUUAAAUUCUGAGAUUGACCAUGGGAGGGUUGAUUCAGUGUCAUAAUUGCAUAAUUACAUGCAGUCGAUUUCCAUGUGCAAGAAAAAACACGGUUGCUCAAGGAAAUUGAUUUUUGAUUAAAAAUGGCGUUAGCAGUGGGAAUAAUCGAUACAUGUAUGAUGUAGGAACUGAAGAAUUUCCCAAUGCAUCCUACGGAUUUGUUGAUGUCCAAGACGUCGCACUAGCACAUAUUCAAGCUCUCGAAAACCCUUCAGCCAGCGGCAGAUAUUGCGUAGUUGGAGGAGUAAUGCACUAUCCGGACAUGUCGAAGAUCUUGCACCAUCUCUAUCCCACAUUGCGCCUCCCAGAAAAGUAAGUUCCCGUUUUUGUUCAACUCCAUAGAUUAAAAGGUAACUUUUUUUCUCUUAAGAGCAAGUCGAGAAAUGGUCUUAUGGCGAGCAUAUACACUAACGUUAACCGAUGCUGCACGAAUCAUGCAUUUUGAACACAGAUGUGAAGACAACAAGCCUGCUGUGGCGGCUCAUCGGAUAUCAAGGGAAAAAGUAGAAGGUUUGGGUGUGAAUUUCAUACCUCUGGAGGUUAGCAUAAAAGAUACUGUUGAAAGCCUCAAGUAGAAAACUUUCCUCUCUUUUUGAGCUUUUUCUUCGGAGGUCGGCCUAAGUGACAUCAUUGGAGCCUCAAGGGCGAAGGCGGAAUCUCUCUAUUUGAGCUAGCUUUUCUCGAUCGACAACGCUGACCUCAUAGUCAUACUUAAAAGGUUGUUGAUAACGUAUUGUAUAUUUCAUAUAGUUAUCGUGGUCGGACCAUGUAUGGUCUCUUACUCUUGUUGAAUAGAGCAUUCCAUCUCUAAACUUGAAAGACGAUGCAAUGCUGAAUGUCUAUCCUAUAGUUAUUGUAUGCGAAUUUGCUUUAAUAUUCAAUAACAAUAUUAGGAUAAUCGAGUGUGAUAAUAUUGAAAAUAAUUUAUUGAAAAAAUCAAGAGAAUUGAAGGGCUCAAUAUAUUCAAGAAAAAGUCCAACCAAAAAAAAAACAUAAAUUAAGGGAUCAAAUAUGGUUUAUCCCAAAUCAAGAAUUAGAUAAGUACAACUACUCAGGGUGCGUUUGGCUGGCACCUAUUUCUGUUCCCAGGAACAGAAAUUUCUGUUUUUUUGUUCCUGGGAACAAAAAAGGAACAGAAACGCGUUUGGGUGCGUUUCUGUUCCUUUUUGUUCUUUUGUUCCCAGAAACAAAAAGGGAACAGAAAUAAGAAACAAAAAAUUCUUGUUUCUUAUUUCUGAAACAUAUUUGAGGAACAAAAAAGAAACAAAAUGGUGUUCUCUUGCGACCCUCUCCUCCUGCAAGCGUCUCCACCGUCGUCUUCUCCGGCGCCUCCCACUCUCCGGCGCCGACAGCCGCCUCUGUCUUGAGACCAUCCGGCUUCUCCACCAUCGACCUCUCCGGCACCGACAGCCGCUGCAAGCGUCUCCACCUGUGAGCGAGUGACGUAGCUGGGUCGUGGGUCGCUGGGCGGCGACGGUGGCUGCGGUGCUGGGCUCGGCCGUGGGGUCUCGAGCGGCGGACGUCUACGAGCAGAGCGGCGAGGACUGCCGGUCGAGUCGUGGGCCGGCGCGAGGUCAACGAUCGAGCGGAUCUCGAAGUCGUGGGUCACGGUGCGGUGAGAUCUGAUGCGGCGGUGGCGAACGAAGGCUCGAGACCUGCAGAUGCGUCGAUCGGGCGUGAGGCGGAGGGGCGGUCGCCGAUGCGGUGGCGGCGAGGAGGCGUCGAGCGCGGUCGCCAAUGCGGUGGAGGGAGACGACGGUGUGGCUCUAGGUCACCGUCGGCACGGCGCGGCGAGGCCGACCUCGCGCCUGGCUGGGCGAGCUCGAUCUCGCCCAGAUCCGGCGAGGCCGAGCUCGCCCAGCGGCCGGCGAGCCUCGUCGUGGCUGGGCGAGGCCGCCGGCGACCGGCCAAAAGAAGAAAAAAGGAAAAAGCAAAAAGGAAAAAGGAAAAAGAAAAAAAGGAAAAAUAAAUAAGAAAAAUAAGAAAGAAAAUAGAAAAUAAAAAUAAAAAUAUUAAAAAAUUAAAAGAAAUAAAAAAAUUAUACAAACUUACCCAAUGUGUUUCUGUUCUUUUUAUAUUUCUAAAAUGAAUUUACCAAACGCAUUUUUUUGUUUAAAAAUUGUUCCUUAGAAUAGAAACACUUUUUUUUUAUUUCUGUUCCCAGAAAUAAUUUUUAAACAGAAACGUUACCAAACGCACUUUUAAUAUCUCAAAGCUUAAAGUAAAGCUACUCAAGAGGAGUUGGAAGAGUUCCUCUUGAACUUGGGCGCCGCCCCAGGACAAUGGAAAGCGAUACGAACCUUUCGGCUCAAAGAAAAGUCGAAACGAAAUGUAAUUAUUACCAAGUAAUGUCACGUACGUAAUGGCUUACGAGUUGCGAGAAGGCGUCUAUCGUCAACCAGGAGCGACAAAAAAUGGGUUUGGAUUAUCUUUAAAGAUUCGGCAGAACAUCGGGCUCUUUAUAAUAUAAUAAGGUCCAUCUGCUGCUCCGCCACCCACUCCAGCACUCGUUCACUCUCUCCCCCGAACCACGAGAGAGGAGACCAGCGCGCGCGCGAACUCCACACGGUUCAGGUGCCAAGAACGGAGGAGAUGAGUGGAGCAGAGAAGGUGGUGGGCGUGAUCGGAGGGUCGGGUUACAUAGCUUCUUGGCUGGUCAAGCUCUUGCUCCUCCGUGGCUACACUGUUCGAGCCACUGUCCGAGACCCAUGUAAGAAAAAUGUUCCCUUUCUUUAUACUCUCUCUCUCUCUCUGCUCUGCUGUUGGAAGAAAAAAAACAGAGCUGUUGAAAUCCGAUAACCCACAUGAAGUUGUGUCCAAACCCUUUGUCAGAGUGAAACCAUCAAAGCUAUUUUUUUCUCUGAGAGAUAGAAGAAUUUUGGUAGCUUCAUUAGUUUUGUGUUGUAGAUUGCCCUCUAAUAUAUGUAUCUAUCCAAUAAAGUUCAAAUCUUUUGCAUCCUGUUCGACUUUGUUGAAGAAGUGGCACGCUCAAACCAUCGUCUAGAUUCCGGAUUCUUGAUUUAUUUAUUUUCAGUAUCAGUUUUGCGCAAGUUUCUCCGGGAACAAUACGGCUCUUCUUGUCCCGCCUAUGCCCUUUCUGAUUGUAGAUGCUACUGAUGUGUCGGUGAGGGUGCUUGCAAGUUUUAGAAUUUCAAUCAGUUAAAUGGAGAAUUUUUCUCAUUCUUGUGCAUGUGCGACAGCCGACCCAAAGAAGACAGGACACCUUCUGGCACUGGAGGGGGCAAAGGAGAGGCUGCAUUUAUUCAAAGCAGAAUUGCUGGAAGAAGGGUCCUUUGACUCGGUAGUCGAUGGAUGCGAAUGUGUUUUUCACACUGCAUCGCCUGUUUUGUUCUCAGCUGCUGACCCCCAGGUGCUUGAAUCUUGCCACGUUAAUCAUCCAACGUUGUCCUUGUUUUCCUAAAUAAGUAGAUAGCUCAUGGACAAACCAUUCCAUUCCAUGUGGAAGGGGAUUUGCUUUUCUUCUGCCACAAUGAGUUCAGUUUCGGUUUUCUGAUACUUUAUGAGAAUUUUACCGAAUGAUUUCUUCUAUUGCAUGACUCAGGCUGAAUUGAUUGAUCCUGCCCUAAAAGGCACCCUUAAUGUUCUAAGAUCAUGCGCCAAAGCCUCUUCUAUCAAGAGAGUAGUUGUGACGUCCUCUAUGACUGCAGUUUUAUUCAGUGCAAAACCUCUGACUUCGGGCAUUGUCAUUGAUGAGACUUGGCAUUCAGAUCCAGAAUUUUGCGAGAAAUCCAAGGUUUGUAUAUCAAAAUUUCCUGACAAUAUUGCUGUUCAUUUCUUUCACUUGUGAAAUUUUAGUGUUGAAUUACAUUCAGAGUUCCUGUUACAUGGUGAAACUGGUAAAAUGCUGAUUCUGAGAGGAGUUGGGACAUCAGGGAACAUUUCUCUCUUAAAUCACAUAGCUUUCACUAGACACUUUUUACGGAUACCCAAACCAAGGAGUGCCUGUCUCAUCACUUACAGUUGUUUGUGUUACUCUUGCAAUUUGGCCUGGCGCCAUGUUAGAUGCUACAUAUGCUUAUUGAAUACAACAGUUUCUCUAUACUUUACUUGCUGGAGGAGAACUACUUAUCUUUCGUUUCUUUUAGCCGGUAAUCUCCGAAUGCCUUGGAUGACAUCGAAUGAAGUCAAUGUCAUGGCAAUGGUUAUUAUAUGUGUUGAAUGAGGCGAAACAUUCUAACAGUCUCUUUGGCUUAUCUAUCUUCAGCUCUGGUAUAUGCUUUCAAAAACCUUAGCAGAGAAGGCAGCUUGGGAAUUCGCCAAAGAGAAAGGAAUUGACCUUGUCACGAUAAACCCAGGAUAUGUGAUCGGCCCUAUCUUGCAGCCCACUGUUAAUCUCACUGUGCAGACAAUACUGAACUUCAUUAAUGGUAUCACUAUCAUCUAGCCAUAAAUUAUGUUUGUUAUUGAAUCUUUGCCAUUUUAUUUCAGAGCGUCUUCAUCAAACAUUUGUGCAUGCUUUUUCUCAUUACCCAAAAGACAAUCUCAAGGAGUAACUAUAGAACUAUGUUUCUGAUUAAAGACGAUCUCAAUGAAGUCAUAUGCCCUUAACCAUACUUAUGAGUUAUGGGCGCAUGUGUCUCAGAAUGUAUUUCUGCAUUGGUCCAUGGAAUAGCUAUCCUUCUUUGCUAGAUAACUGAAUUUGGCAACAUGAGGUCCCGAGGCCCUUUCAUUCUAUCUACUGAAUCUGUCUUAUGUAUUUAAGGGUUUGCUUAAUUGGCUGCACAGACACUAUUAUAAUCAUUUCUGGUAGAUUUCCAUGUGCGACAUGGUUUUCAACUACUGGCAGUGGCAGCAUUUGGUACAAAGUUGUCUUGACGUUUGCAUGGGAGUAAUUGAGGCUUAUCCUGCAGGAGCUCAAACAUUUCCAAAUACAUGCUAUAGAUUUGUUGAUGUUAGAGACGUCACACUCGCACAUAUCCUAGCUUUUGAAAAUCAUUCAGCUCAUGGAAGAUAUUGCGUAGUAGGCGAAGUUAUACACUGCCAUGACGCUUUGCAGAUUCUCCGAAAUCUCUACCCCACUUUGCACCUCCCCGAGAAGUAAGUUAUCAUUUUUCCUUAAUUCUUAUCUUCUGUCAGACUACUGUGCAUCCAAGAGAUUACGGUUGUUUUCAUGAUGGUGUAGAUGCGAAGAUGAGAAGCCUUUCUCGUCAAAGUAUGAGAUAUCAAGAAAGAAGGCAGAAGCUCUGGGUGUCAACUUCACUCCAUUGGAGGUGAGUCUGAGAGAUACCGUCGAAUGCCUCAAGGAAAAGGGAUUCAUCUCUAUCUAGGCACUUGCUUAGAACAGCAUAUCACAAGCUUGCUAGUAAUGACUUGUGGACCUGUGGUCUGUCCUCAGCCUUUCAGCUCCUAAAUCAUACAACUGUUCUGAAUAAUGUAUCAUUACCCACUUUUAGAGAUUACACUGCCAGUUUUUCCCAGCUAAUCUUAAGUUAUUGAUGUUUAGUUUCUCUGUCCAAUUUGCCUGCCGAAACGACUCAUCAUAUAGAACAUCAGAAAUAAUCUCGAAGACUUUGUAAGCAAUGUCGAAAACUUGUGAGAUAAAUUGAGUUAAUGACUCAAGCUAGCGGUUAAGCCAAGAAGGCUCCUUUCAGGCCAACAUACUUGACUGCCAUUAUGUAUAACGCCAAUAGAAAAAUGAAGGACUUACUAUAAUUGGAUAUGAAUAUCAAAGACUGAUUCUGCCAAUGACUUAUAUGACCAAAAAUUGGUGACUCAUGGUACUCUCAAUCAACAGAGCAUUGAACAGUGUUUCUGAGCUUAACAAAACCUUGAUAAUAAUAGCUGGAUCAUAAGUAGACAAUGCAUACUGGCUGCGAUUGCCAUCCCGAUGCAAGAGAGCUUUACACGACCAAAUUGCAUCUGAACUUGCAGCACCUAAUAGUUGAGCGUGCACUUUCUGUCUGCAGACGUAAUAUGUGGUUAUCAAACAAUCAAUCUUCACUUCUGAUGAAAGCAUCUGAACUGCCAUCUCAUUUCAUCUGCAUAUGCAAUGGUCUGACAGGCCUUUGUAUAACUCCCACUGCAUUAUCCCAUCCAUAGCUUCAACACCUUAUCUUCACCACCAGAAGCAACAUUCUCACCAUCUGGAUUCCAAUCGACCGCAAAAACCUUCUCACGAGAACACGUGCUAAAAUAAGUAAGUGGUAGUCCAUGAUAGACAUACAAACUUUAAACUUGUCUGAUGACAAUGUUAGGGGAACAAACCUCAUCCGUAUGACCCGGAAGAUCUUGUUUCAACUUCUUCAUGCGAAUAUCCCAGAUCUAAAAGUAAGCCAAAUAUUGAGCAAACAUUUAAGCAUUCAAAUCAGGCAAAAAUUCAUAAUAAUCAUAACCGGUAAAAAGGGCAGACUCCACAUGCUAUUGACAUUUACAAAUAGUUCAAACAGAAUUAAACAACAAGCAAGAGUACAUCACUCAAGCUUCCAUUCGUACUCUGCUUUACAAUAUCCUCAUCACCAUAUCUCGCAAAAUAAGCAGACCUAACAUGGUCUAACGGUUCAAAAAAUAACUUUAAAUAGACCAUUGAGAUCUCAAUGAAAACAAGUUGCACUAGAACUCAGCAACAACCGGGGGCAAAAAUCCUUAUUGCUUGCACCAUAAAUAAACUAAUUUCCUGUAACACUGAUAUUAUUUUCACAGAUAAUAUUACAAGCUCUCCUGUUACAAUUCUAAGUGACCACACUUGAUCUCUCUUAAAGCUGGCCCAUGACACACGUAAGUACUUUACGGAAAUCAUUCAAAUGCUAUAUGCUUUGUGCAACUGACCUUCAGGGUAGUCUUUGCUCCCACUUAAAAUAAGUCUACUAUCCGCAGACCAACUGUGCAUUAUGUAAAUCAUGAUUAGAAAUCAUUCUUGAAUGGAUAAGACGAGCAAAUUUUGAAAAUAUCUCAAACCUUAUCUGAUAUACAGGCCCGACAUGUCCACUGAAUGCAGCAACAAACUUCCCAAUGAUACCAUUACACAACUUCAAAGAUCUAUCAAACGAAGCACUAGCCACCCAUUGCCCAUCCGGUGAAAGGUAGACACGAUCCACAAGCUGCAAACAAAAAGCAUAAUUUCCCGCAUUUACACCUAAGACAGUUCAACAAGGAUCUAAAGUACUAGCCUCAAGAAAAUAUUAGGAGGAUGUCUCAUCCAUUGAACCAGUGCCACCAGGACCACAAUGUGGAGGACGUCCUUAUUUAGCAUCAUUAUGGCAAUUGAUAGUAUAUAAUGGAACACAAACAGUCUUCUAAAUACAGUAAAGACUUAGGGAAUCAAUCACACAGCAAAAGCAGGCAGCUGUCAAAUCAAUCUCCCUCCCUCCCUCCCUCCCUCCCUCCCUCCUCCCUCCUCCGUCACACACACGCACACACAUACCUGUUGAUGAUCGGUCAAGAACGGACAAUCAUGUUUUUGGAUGCUUACUGACAUAAGGUUCCCCACAAAACAGAGUAAUGNNNNNNNNNNNNNNNNNNNNNNNNNNNNNNNNNNNNNNNNNNNNNNNNNNNNNNNNNNNNNNNNNNNNNNNNNNNNNNNNNNNNNNNNNNNNNNNNNNNNUUUCAUUUUCUUGUAACUUUCUAAUGCAACUAUGUUCAUCAACAAAAUACAGAAGUUCAUAUAACACUUACCAGAAAGUAGAACUACAAAUGUGCAUAGACCCAAAGGCAGAGAAUCACCACAGAGCCAGAAGACGUGCUGACUAAUGCAUACUAGGUUGUAAGAAAAUAAUGUCCAGAGAGAAAUAACCAAUGCAUACUAAGUUGCAUGAGCAAAUCAAUAUGCAGAGAGAAAUAAAUGUUUGAUUUAUUGCCUCAUGAUAUAAAGAUGAUUCCACAUAAUAACAGUUACCUACUUGCUUCAUUUCUUCAGAAGAUGAAUACUGUUUUCCAGUGUGAUCAAAAGCUACAGUUCGAAGAACAUACUCAGUGCUCAGAGCAGGAGUUAACCCAGUGUCCAUGAUCCUACAACAAAAAUUUUACAGAAAUAAGGAUGAUCGUGAAAAAAAGAAGAGAGGGAUCUAGCAGCAACUUAGAUUAAGAAUGCGGACUUGGCAGUAGAAACUAAGAAAAGACAUAAUCACGCGAGCCAUGAAAACUAAACUCUAACCUUAAUAUGCAAUUCAUAUCUCAGACAUCAAAAAAUGGUGGUAUUUCAUUCCUACCGUCAAUAUCUCCCAAGAACUAUACAAUGAAAACAAUCAAGGACAUGAUAUCGCCAGUAGCUGGGCUAAAUAAUAUGCCCAAUUAGUAUGGGGUAGGUCACUAGUUGUCAAACUGCCUCCUGGCACUAAAGAGAUUGAGUGAAUGCAGCUACUCCAAAGGCGCAAAUAAAUAUAAGGCUCUUGUGGCGAAGAAGAAGACAGGCAUGCAAUGACCCUGCAAUCUGUAUAACAAACUUUAAAAAAGAUGUUACCUUCAAUUCCCUUAUCACCUUCCCCUGGGAGUUUCUCAGACAUUAAUUGUACAGUCCUGGGAGCUGCAAGAAAUUUAAAAUAAUUACUUCACCAGGCAACAAGUAGUAGAAGCAGCAGAAGUUUGGCAAAGGAUACUCAGUAGCUUGAAAGCAGAAUUUACAAGUCCUCGCUUAAUCUUAGGCCCAUUAGAAGUAUGAAUAAGUCAAGAAAACUUCAUGUUAUUCUUUUGUUUUCAUGUAGCAUGGCACUAGCAUAUGGACAUUAAUACAUCACAAAGUGAUUAAAUAUUUAUCUCAGUGUUGAAUUGCCUCUCCUGUUCCAACUUGUCAGUGGGACAGCUAUUAAGGAUUGGGAGAGAGAAUUCAUGCCAAAAAUUUGAAACCAUUAAGUGAAAGGCAAUUUCACCAACAAUUGCCAAAAUUAAGGAAGUUGCAUACCCAGUAUACAUUACAACGUCUCCUCCCCAAUUUAUGCAUGUAAUAACUAGAGUAUGACCGCUCAGACAUAUUACACAACUUUGUAGUGUUACAUCCCGUAUGCAUGCAUCACCGUCUUCACAUGAACUCACAAAGCGACGGCAUGGGGAACUCAGAUGUACUGGUUCCCAAGAUAAACCUGUGAUCCAUUUCUUGUGGCCCUGACAUAAAGCAGAUUCAAUUGUCUUAGUGGCACAGAGACUAUUCUUGCUAUGCAUCAGCCACAAAAUCAAGUUAGACACUUCAACACCUCACAAGUUAUCGUCAAAAAAUGGUAAAGGGUGUCAGAAAGCUUUCCUCAACAAAAAGGGUACACCAUGAUCUCAUCCUAUAAAGGCAAAGCUACACAAUAAACUGUACUCACUACACUAAACUUAUGGAUAUCAUCCAAAUUAACGCCAACACUGCUCCCGCUUAUUUUGCCACAAGUAUCAAAUUAGAAGCAACAAAUUGGCAAUUUUAUCCACCAUUUCCUCUUCAAUAUGGAGUUAUAAACCAAGAAAUAUUAAUAGGAAAUGGAGUUCCAUGGAAUCCUUUAAGGAAGGAUUCGUGUAACACCAAAGGUCCAAAACUAUUUGGUCCAAACAACUUUCCAUAAAAUAAAUUUAGGUCAAAGUUAAAUGAAGUUGGUAAAAGCAGCAAAAUACAAUCAACUGAAUAAGAUACUUUCUAGUCUUAUAAUGCAAUAAGGAUCAUACGACAAGUGGAUUGCCUGAUGGUUGCGCAGUCAACGGAUCCCAACAUUGGAGUUCUCCAGCCUUGCUUCCACUUACAAGAUGCUUACCAUCAGGUUACCAUGUAAUACAGAGGACCCAAUUCUUGUGCCCUGAGUAAAAGAAAGUUUCAUUAAUCAAACAGACAAAAAGGAAACCAAGUAAUUUAUACUGCCAACAAACCGCUUACUAACAUUUUUUCCACCCACAAUCCACUACAUGGUCUUUGUAGGAUUGAUAUCACAUGGAUGCAAUAACAUUUACAAGCUCAUUAUCCUGUGAGAAAAAUAUCACGUGAGGUCAUUACUACUACGUGUCAAUUGGUAACAAGUGACAAGCUGCCAUAUCAAAUCUAAAACAAGAAAAGGAAAUUGACAACUUCAUCAAUCAACGUUCAACUCUAAAUUCACAAAUUAUUUUGAAGUGCAUCAAUAGACCCACACUAAUACUUUUCGAAAACCCAGCUAGUUUAAUUGCGGAAAUUUACUUCUCAGUUUGAAAACAAAACAAGUAAUGCCUAAUUCAAACAAUUUUUGUUUGAUGAUCACCGGUGCAUUUGUAUACUAUAGCAAAAUCCCCUAGAAUGAAAUCUAUGGGAAUUUGCACAACGAAAAAAAGAUAACAAAGCCUAGUCUUGAUUUUGCAUUUCACAUCCAACUGCUGGAUCCUGAGUGAAACCUUACCAACAAGCUGAUCUCCGCAAAUCAAAGAUAUACAAUGGCAUCCACCAUUCACAUUUUUGGAUACCUACCAAAUUUCUCCUGAAUUGCAACCAUUAAUACGGGAACUUGAACACAGGAGCACAGUUACCCAUCUUCUCCUGUAUUUCAACUACAUCCUGUAGAAAGCAUCCAAUUGUUGGUUUAAUGCAAACAAAUUUCUUCAAACUUUCAGUAAAAUAAAAGAAACAUGGUUAUCUCGCAGCCACAGGUACUUUCAGAUUCACCCAACCAUCAAAAAACCUUGUGACAAUUUACACAUUGUCCUAAAGUCUUCACAGAAAAAGAAAACCACGCUUUGCUUUGCUUUAAAGCUAAACUAGUAAUGGAAGUUAAAGAAAUGAAAUGGCUGUUAUCUAAACACUAGUUCCAUGAAACUACUGCAAAAGUAAUGAAGAAAGAAAGCAAAUUCAAGCUUCAGUUACUUGAAUAUAUUGCAAUUGUCCCCAGGCACAAAAUCCAAACUAUCCGCACUUGAACAUGGAAUGAGACAUGGGCUGCUAAAGGUAACGAAAGUACUUAAGACUAAACCAACUACCAAGAUACAAGACAAAUUUGCCAUCUCAUUUUAGGCACCAAUAGAGAGACUUGAACGAUCAAGCCAAAACUAUUUAGCGCCAAAGAGAAGAAAAAAAAAAGCCAGAAAAUUCAGCGCAAUCAUAGAAGCGCCUAACGAAAUGCAAAAACAGCGAGGGGAAAGGGAAGGCCGACUGCAAGAGGGAAGGCCGCGGGCGAGGCGAGGCGAGGCGACCGACGGACCGAGAGCGAGAUUAGGGAGAGAGUUUUUUGAGAGGGCUAGGGUUUUGUCCAUCAUUAUGCGUGAGGAAAGGGGAGAUUGCGAAAACGCGACACGCGAGCUCAACUAGAGGAAGCAGAGGUAGCAAGCAAGAAGAGAGAAACGCUGCGGGAAUUAGCGAGCGACCGAGAGGAAGAAGCGAACCUGCAGCAGAGCCUCGAGACGGGAGCGAAGAACCAUAGAAAACGCCGUUCUGAACGAAGAAGAAGACGGAGAAGAGGAGGAGGAGGAGGAGGAGAGAGAGAGUCAGCAGAAGCCGUCAGGGAGCAGCAGAAUUAAAGAAGCGGGAGACGUACAGUCCGGUAAGCCUGCGUGCUGGUACAUGAUGGAGUAACAAAACGCGGGUUCUCAAUAUUUGAAUUAGUAGGUUCGUUCAUCAAAAUUUUGUUACGCCCGUGUUUAGUUAGGAAAGGGUGACAUUUAAUCAGGAUGGUAAGUCAAGAUUCCAUCUCAGUAUCACCAAAAUUUCAAUUUCUAGCAAAACGAAUGAUGCGAAUGAUGAUAAAAGGGAAAUUACCCACUUUACCACUUGUAUUUUCAUAUUGCAUUUUUGCAUCCUCGAUUUUAAAUUCACUACUAAAUUUUGUCAAACCAAAUUGUAUUAUUAAGACCUCUGUAUUAUCAUGAGAAUUUGAUAAUUUAUGUCUCUCGAAAUAGUGGUUCUGGAAUGCAAAAUAAGGUGGGUUGUCAAGUUAACGUCAGUUAUAUUUGUGACAAGCGCAUCUACUCUUUCAUUGCAUUGAUUCAUAGUCUUUUUAAUUUGAGCUUUAAUGUGUGUUCUCAAAAACUUUAGCCGGAAAUUGCUAAAGAGCAUAAAAUUGGCCUGUUGUGAUAAACUCUACACACCUGAUUGAUCCUUUAUUAAAGUUGGAAAGCUUCAUUCAACAUGUGACAGUGACAUUACAAUCUUAGGUAGGCACUACCACACAUCUAAGGCUGCUCCUCUAUUAUAGCCUCAGCGUGAUUAAUUUCUUUCAUGGAUUUGUCCUUUCACAUGUAGAUAACUAAGAUAGGUACUUCUCCAGGAUGUUGGACAUCUAUCAAUGCCAAACCAACGCCAACAGAUCCCAAACCGGUUGAUGCGCCUCCGUCACUGCUCCGCCGCCCCUCCGCGUCGAUCGGUUCCAUGGAUCUACCCGGGAACUGGACCGGACCGGCGGUCCGGUUCUCGGGUGGAUCCAUGCAACAAACGGAUGGAUCCCGGUUCCAAUUUUUCGGAACCGGUCCUUAACGGGCGGUUCCCGGUUCUAGGUCAGGAACCGCCUGCCCGAACCAUGCACACCCCUAGUGCCAAGAACGGAGGAGAUGAGCGGAGCAGAGAAGGUGGUGGGCGCGAUCGGAGGGUCGGAUCUCUAUAAAAAAUAGUCACUUCUAGCAUGAUAUUGAAUUAUUGUAAUGCCAAGCAAUUGUAUCUUCCUUGCCCUAAGGAUUUGUUGUUCACCAAUUGGAUUCUCAACCUUUAUACAUACGAAUAUGCUCUCAUAUACCUUUACCAAAAAAAAAAAAAAAUAGGCUCUCAUGUAUUUUUCUGACUUAGGCGCGUUAGUGAGAAGCUUCUCAUUACUUACUCUUAAAGUGGUGAUUCUAGAAUGCUAAAUGAGGCAGCGUUGUCAAGUUAAUGUCACUUAUAUUUGCGACAUACGCAUGUGUUCUUUCAUUGCAUUAACUUAUAAUAUUUCUAUUUUGAGUUUUGGCAUGUCCUUUCAAAAGCCUUAGCAGAGGACCCCGCUGGAAAUUGCUAAAGGGCACAAAAUUGGCCUGUCGUGAUAUAGACCCGACAAGCAUGGUUGGUCCUCUAUUAGAGCCUGAAAACUUCAUUCAACAUGCGAGUGACAUUAUACAUAGGCACUAGCCCCACCUCUAAGGUUGGUGAUUUACUACUCGGUUCUUUAAAGAUUCGGCCGAGCAUCGGGCUCUUUAUAAGUCCAUCUGCUCCGCCACCGAGUCCAGUACUCGUUCACUCUCUCCCCCGAGCCACAGGAGACGAGACCAGCGUGUGUGAACUCCACGGUUCAGGUGCCGAGAACGGAGAAGAUGAGCGGAGCAGGGAAGGUGGUGGGUGUGACCGGAGGGUCGGGUUACAUAGCUUCUUGGCUGGUCAAGCUCUUGCUCCACCGUGGCUACACUGUUCGAGCCACAAUCCGAGACCCAAGUAAGAAAAAAGUUCCCUCUCCCUCCCUCUCUCUAUCUCUCUCUCUCUCUCUCUCUCUCUCUCUCUCUCUCUUAUGCUCUUUUACGCUUCUUGGGCAUUGUCAAGCUGUUGGAAGAAGAAAAAACAAAGAACCGUUGAAAUCUGAUAAUCCACAUGAAGUUAUGUGGAAACCCUUUAUUAGAGUGAAACCAUCGAGCUAUUUUUUGUGAGAGAGAAGAAUUUUGCUAGCUUCAUUAGUUUUGUCUAUAUAUCUAUCUGAUAAAGUUCCGAUCUUUUGCAUCCUGUUCGACUUUGUUAAAGAAGUAGCACGCUCAAACCAUCGCUCAAUUCCGGAUUCUUGAUUUAUUUAUUCUCGCAUCAGUUUUGCACAAGUUCGUCCAUAAACAAUACGACUCUUCUCGUUCCGCCUAUGCCCUUUCUGACUAUAGAUGCUACUAGUGUGUCGGUGAGGGUCCCUGCAACUUUUUAAAUUUCAGUCAGUUGAGAUUUCUCAUUCUUGUGCAUGUGCAACAGCCGACCCAAAGAAGACAGGACACCUCCUGGCACUGGAGGGGGCUAAGGAGAGGCUGCAUUUAUUCAAAGCGGAAUUGCAGCAAGAAGGGUCCUUUGACUCCGUAGUCGACGGAUGCGAAUGUGUUUUUCACAUUGCAUUCCCCUAUCUGCCCUCAGCUGCUGACCCCCAGGUGCUUGAAUCUUGCCAUGUCAAUCAUCUUUCAUGAUUUGUUACGUGCUUAAAUUCCAACGUUGUCCUUGUUUUCCUAAAUGAGUAGAUAGGUCCAUGUGGAUGGGGAUUUGCGUUUCUUCUGCCAUAACGAGUUCAGUUUUGGUUUUCUGAUACUUUUAAUGAGAAUUUUACCUAAUGAUUUCUUCUAUUACAUGACUCAGGCUGAAAUAAUUGAUCCUGCCGUAAAGGGCACCCUCAAUGUUCUAAGAUCAUGCGCCAAAGCCUCUUCUAUCAAGAGAGUGGUUGUGACGUCCUCUAUGGCCACAGUUGCAUUUAGUGCAAAACCUGUGACUUCGGGCAUUGUCAUUGAUGAGACUUGGGAUUCAGAUCCAGAAUUUUGCCAGAAAUCCAAGGUUUGUGUAUCAAUAUUUCCUAACAAUAUUGCUGUUCAUUUCUUGAAAUUUAACUAUCGAAUAACAUUCAGAGUUAUUGUUAUAAAGUAAAACUGGUAAAAUGUUGAUUCCGAGAGAAGUCGGAACAUCAGGGAACAUUCUCUCUUAAAUCACAUAGCUUUCACUAGACACAUUUUACAGAUGCUCGAACCGAGGAGUGCCUAUCUUAUCACUUACGGUUGUUUGUGUUACUCUUGCAAUUUAGUCUAGCACCAUGUUAGAUGCUACAUAUGCUUAUUGAAAACAACAUUUUCUAUAUACUUCGAUUCAUGGGGAACUACUUGUCUGUCAUUUCUUUUAAUUGGUAAUCUCCCAAUGCCCCUUGGAUGACAUCGAAUGAAGUCCAUGUCAUGGCAAUGGUUAUUAUAUGUGUUGAAUGAGGCAAAACAUUCUAACAGUCUCUUUGUUUUAUCUAUCUUCAGCUCUGGUAUAUCCUUUCAAAAACCUUCGCAGAGAAGGCAGCUUGGGAAUUUGCCAAAGAGAAUGGAAUUGACCUUGUGAUCAUAAACCCAGGACAUGUGUUCGGUCCCUUCUUGCAGCCCACUGUUAAUUUCUCCGUGGGGUUAAUACUGAACCUCAUCAAUGGUAUCACUAUCAUCUAGCCAUAAAUUAUGUUUGUUAUUAAAUCUUUGCCAUUUUAUUUCAGAGCAGCUUCGUCAAACAUUUGUGCAUACUUGUUCUCAUUACCCAAAAGACAAUCUCAAGGAGUAACCGUAGAACUAUCUAUCUGAUUGUAUGCCCUUAAUCAUACUUACGAGUUAUGGCCACGUGUCUCAGAAUGUCAUUCUGCAUUGCUCCAUGGAAUGGCUAUCCUUCUUUGCUAGUUAACUGAAUUUGGCAACAUGAGGUCCUCAGGCCCUUAAAUUCUAUUUAUUGGAUCUGGCUUCUUUAUUGAAGGGUCUGCUUGAUUGGCUGCACAGACACUAUUAUAAUCAUCUGUUAGAUUUCCACAUGCGACAUAGUUUUCAACUACCGGCAGAAGCAUCUAGUAUAAAGUAAAAGUUGUAUUGACGUUGGCAUGGGAGUAAUUGAGGCUUAUCCUGCAGGAGCUCAAACAUUUCCAAAUACAUGCUAUAUAUUUGUCGAUGUCAGAGACGUCGCACACGCACACAUUCUAGCUUUUGAAAAUCAUUCAGCUCACGGAAGAUAUUGCCUAGUAGCCAAAACUGUGCACUGCCAUGAUGUUUUGCAGAUUCUGCGCAAUCUCUACCCCACUUUGCACCUCCCUAAGAAGUAAGUUAUCAUUCUGCCUUAAUUCUUAACUCAUCUUCUGUCAGACUACUGUGCGUCCAAGAGAUUUACGGUUGUUUUCCUAAUGGUGCAGAUGCGAAGAUGAGAAGCCUUUCUCUUCGAAGGAUGAGAUAUCAACAAAGAAGGCAGAAGCUCUGGGUGUCGACUUCACUCCAUUGGAGGUGAGUCUGAGAGAUACCGUCGAAUGCCUCAAGGAGAAGGGAUUCAUCUCUGUCUAGGCAGUUGCUUAGAACAGCAUAUCACAAGCUUGCUAAUAAUGACUUGUGGACCUGUGGUCUGUCCUCAGCCUUUUAGCUCCUAAAUCGUACGAUUGUUCUGAAUAAUGUAUCAUUACCCACUUUCAGAGAUUACUCUGCCAGUUUUUCCCAGCUAAUCUUAAAUUUAUUAAUGGUUGGUUUCUCUUCGCAGUUUGCCUGCCAAAAUGACUCAUCAUAUAGAACAUCAGAAAUAAUCUUGAAGACUUUGUAAGCAAUGUUGAAAACUUGUGUGAUAAAUUGAGUUAAUGACUCAAGCUAGGGGUUAAUCCAAGAAGGCUCCUCUCUGGCCAACAUACUUGAGUUAAUGACUCAAGCUAGGGGUUAAUCCAAGAAGGCUACUCUCUGGCCAACACACUUGACGGCCAUUAUGUAUAAAGCCAAUAGAAAAAUGAGGGGCUCACUAUAACUGGAUAUGAAUAUCAAAGACUGAUUCUGCCAAUUACUUAUAUGAACAAAUUAUCGGUGACUCAUGAUACUCUCAAUUAAUACAGCAUUGAACAGUGUUUCUUAGGUUAACAAAACCUUUGAGAAUAUCAUCUGUAUCAUAAGUAGACAAUGCGUACUGGCUGCGACUGCCAUCCUGAUGCAAGAGAGCUUUACACAACCAAAUUGAAUCCUAACUUCCAGUACCUGAUAGUUGAGUGUGCACUUUGUGGCUGAUUGCAUCCGAACUUGCAGUACCUGAUAGUUGAGUGUGCACUUUGUGUCUUCAGACGUAAUAUGGGCUAUCAAACAAUCAAUUCUUCACUUCGGAUGAAAGCAUUUGAACUGCCAUCUCAUUUCAUUUGCAUAUGUAACAGUGUUGACACUUAAUUUUGAAAAAAUAAAAUUGCAUUUCGAACAAAUAAAAGGAAGAAAAAAUAAAAAUGGGGAAAAUUGAUUUGAUUGAUUAUGCAUGGAAGUUUGAAAUUCUGAUGAGUAUUCAGAUUUUGAUAAAUGUAGAAACAAUUGAAAAAUCUGGCGAACAAAGGGCAAGGAUUUUAAUAAAAUGAAAGCCAAACCCAAAAUCGGUGAGGAUAAUGAUCAGAUUGAUAAAUCAAAAGGAAAGUAUCAAAAAUUAUACCCAUCAGAUGAACUGUUUGCAAAAAUUAAAACGGACGUGGAUGCGUUUUUUGGUAAAUGAGUGAAAAAUCGAAAUGUAAAUUUGCGAUGGCAAAUCGGGGCUAAAAUUCUGUAAUUCCAGCCAUCAAGGAAGCGCAACUUUCUAAAGAUCAAUAGAGGUUUUCACUAUAAAAGGGCUACAGAUUCGGAAAAAUCAAGGGGGAAUUCGAAAAAAAAUUCGAGAGAAAAAUUCGUGCGAGGAAAAAUCCUUCGUCCGUCUUGGUCAAAGGAGAAGCCAUUUCUCUUUUCUUUCUCUGACAAGAAAAGGGAAAGUCAGGAAGAGGUACAGAGAGGACGUGAGGGAGACGUGAGAAGAGAGAGAAAGAAAUAAAAAAAGAGAGAGAAGAACACUGUUCUUCUUUGUGCGGGUGUUCUUCCCACCGCCGGCCUCCUUCCGUGACUACCUGCGCAGCUCGCCAUCACCCGCGAGCACCAGCAGCAGCCUGCUCGUCGCUGCUGAUCGCCCAGCACCGCUCGCCCGACGACCGCGCUGCUGUCCCCUGCCGCCGCUGCACCAACGCUCGACGUCUGCAAUUCACCCGACGCCGCAGCAGCCCGCUGCUGCCGCGCCUCCACAGCCGCGAGCACCGUCGCCCGCGCUCCCGACCUCGUCGUGCCACCGCGCCGCUCUCCUCAGCCCAGCAUCCGGUGCCUUCGCCGCCCAUCUCCGCUCACCGGACGUUGCGACCGCGAUCCCGACGACCGCGCUCCCGCCCUCGCCAACGCCGCGCCGUUGCAACACCUCUGCUCCACCCGCGACGCCGCCCGUCGAUCUCCGAGCUCCGUCGCGCCUCCGCACCGCCACCUCGCUGGUCCCCUCGUCGCCGCCCAGCUUCGCCGGAGCUCCGACCGCGACGCCCCUGCCGGACCUCCGUUUAGCCACCCUUGGCCGGGCCCCACGGCUGUCAAGCCCAUUUUUUAAAAAAAAAGAAGAAAAGAAAAGAAAUGAAAACACAUUAGGUAGUUUUCUUUAGUUUACUUUAUUUAUUUUAUUUUACUUUAUCUUGUGUUUUUUUAGUAUAAUUAGUCUUUAUUAUAUGAUUGGAAAUUUCAACAUAUCACCCAAUUCACAACCGCGCCAGGAUUUUUUAUUUCAUCUAUAAGGCCUUAGAUGAAAUAAUUAAUUAAGCAAGAAUAAAAUUGAUAUUUUGAUAUUUAAGGCUUAAGAUCAAUUUAUCAUUUUUAUCAGCGAAAUGUUAUCCCUUGAUAUGAGUUACGUGUGAUAUCCUUGUUUUGGCUUGUCAUGAUAGCUUUGUUCAUCUCGAAAUAUGUUUGGGUUAUAAUGUUGCAUAUUUUAGGGUUUACACAUUUAGAAUAGGAAUCUUAUUUCGAAUAUUCCUAUUCUAAAUUUUAAAAUCAAAAAUCAAAAAAUCAAAUCAAUCAAUUUAGGUUGCUAGAUUUUUAAUUUGGAUUGCAUGUUUAAUUAUUUGGCAAUUAUUAAUUUCGAAAAUCAAUUAUUAAUUUCGAAAAUUAAUUAAAAAAAACAAUAAAAAAUCAUCAUGCAUAUGUCAUGUAGAAUUAGUGCAUAUUUUGUACGUCAUUGCAUAUUAGGGUUAAAUUGCACUUAGUUUAAUUCUAGAUAAUAUCUUUCUUAGUUUAUUAUGAGUUUAGAUAUUUUGCAUCUUAGGAUUAUCUAGGUUAAGAUAAUAUUUUAGUUUAAAUUAGGAUUUGGCUUAAUCUAAUUCCUAAUGCAAAUUAAAUAGAAUCUUAAUCUAGUUAAAUAAAUUUUCACAUUUUUCCUAAUUCCGAAUUUUCAUGAAAAAAAAUACAAAAAAAUGUCUUAGAAUAAAUUAGUUCUAUUCCCUAGGAUAGAUUGCAUUUUUAGGAAAAAACAAAAAAUUUCAUUGCGUAUCAUUAAAAGUAGAUUCAUGAAAUGCAUGUCAUUUAGAUAUUGUUAUUAGGUCCAUUUAAUUAGAAAUUGCAUGACAUUAGAAUUAGGUCAUUUAGUUAAUACUGCAUUGCAUAUUGCAUGAUUUUAUUUAAGUGAAAACAAAAAGAAAUUGCGACAUUGCAUAUUGCAUGAUUUUAUUUAAGUGAAAACAAAAAGAAAUUGCGUGUUAAUUAGAAACCAUAUCCAGGUUGUUGAUGUGGUUUUUUAACUUAACAUUGCAGAUGUUUUCGUUGCUUUGAGAUAAGUUUUUACAGUUUAUUUAUUGUUUAUCUGGGUGUUAAAUUGGUGGAUUGCGCACCCGCAUGAUCACCUAACAUGUUAGGAAAAUAGAUUUAAAAUCAAUUUAAGCUGCCUGCAAAAACAUUUUUGCAAAAUAAAAGAAUGGUAUCGAAAGAGCAUUAGAGAAAUCUAGUGUAACCAAGUCCCCGUACCCAUAGUCUCUGGUUCGUAGGAGUAAAGUGAAACUCCCGUUACUUUACUUGGGUUUCUAAUCGACCCACCAAAAAAUAAAUUAGUGGCGACUCCUGUUUAAAAAAUAAAUUGCAUAUUAAGAACUUGAACUUAAGUCGCGAAUUGGUAUGGGCUUGAGAGAGCCUGAAUUAAAUCUAGACUUAAUAAUCCAUUAACCAAAUUUUAAGUGGUUCACACCUCGAAAAAUAGGUCGCGACAAACGGUCUAGGCACCUGCUUAAAAACAGCACGACACUAGCUGAUAAUUCGGGGUUCCUUGCUUUCUUUCCUCCGUCACAUCCUGCAUACUCAUAUGUGCAGAAUAACCUAUGCGCAUCCACUUUACGAAACAAGUUUUACCGGUUGAAGUUUCUU
rnacentral:lncRNA from 1 species